ACUGGGACUGAGACACGGCCCAGACUCCUACGGGGGGCAGCAGUGGGGAAUAUUGGACAAUGGGGGGAACCCUGAUCCAGCCAUGCCGCGUGUGUGAAGAAGGCCUUUUGGUUGUAAAGCACUUUAAGCGAGGAGGAGGCUACCGAGAUUAAUACUCUUGGAUAGUGGACGUUACUCGCAGAAUAAGCACCGGCUAACUCUGUGCCAGCAGCCGCGGUAAUACAGAGGGUGCAAGCGUUAAUCGGAUUUACUGGGCGUAAAGCGCGCGUAGGUGGCCAAUUAAGUCAAAUGUGAAAUCCCCGAGCUUAACUUGGGAAUUGCAUUCGAUACUGGUUGGCUAGAGUAUGGGAGAGGAUGGUAGAAUUCCAGGUGUAGCGGUGAAAUGCGUAGAGAUCUGGAGGAAUACCGAUGGCGAAGGCAGCCAUCUGGCCUAAUACUGACACUGAGGUGCGAAAGCAUGGGGAGCAAACAGGAUUAGAUACCCUGGUAGUCCAUGCCGUAAACGAUGUCUACUAGCCGUUGGGGCCUUUGAGGCUUUAGUGGCGCAGCUAACGCGAUAAGUAGACCGCCUGGGGAGUAC
rnacentral:rRNA from 1 species